rnacentral:rRNA from 1 species
AGAGUUUGAUCCUGGCUCAGGACGAACGCUGGCGGCGUGCUUAACACAUGCAAGUCGAACGGAGCACCCUUGAAAGAGUUUUCGGACAAUGGAGAGGAAUGCUUAGUGGCGGACUGGUGAGUAACGCGUGAGGAACCUGCCUUCCAGAGGGGGACAACAGUUGGAAACGACUGCUAAUACCGCAUGACACAUUUGAAUCGCAUGGUUUGAAUGUCAAAGAUUUAUCGCUGGAAGAUGGCCUCGCGUCUGAUUAGCUAGUAGGCGGGGUAACGGCCCACCUAGGCGACGAUCAGUAGCCGGACUGAGAGGUUGACCGGCCACAUUGGGACUGAGAUACGGCCCAGACUCCUACGGGAGGCAGCAGUGGGGAAUAUUGGGCAAUGGGCGCAAGCCUGACCCAGCAACGCCGCGUGAAGGAAGAAGGCUUUCGGGUUGUAAACUUCUUUUAAGAGGGAAGAGCAGAAGACGGUACCUCUUGAAUAAGCCACGGCUAACUACGUG